GCCCAGGUGGCGGAAUUGGUAGACGCGUUGGUCUCAAACACCAAUGGCAGCAAUGCCGUGCCGGUUCGACUCCGGCCCUGGGUA
rnacentral:tRNA from 1 species